GUAUAAGAACACAGGACCAACUAACAGAGAGCUAUAAGAACACAGGACCAGCUAACAGAGAGCUAUAAGAACACAGGACCAGCUAACAGAGAGCUAUAAAAACACAGGACCAACUAACAGAGCGCUAUAAGAACACAGGACCAACUAACAGAGAACUAUAAGAACACAGGACCAACUAACAGAGAACUAUAAGAACACAGGACCAGCUAACAGAGAGCUAUAAGAACACAGGACCAGCUAACAGAGCGGUAUAAGAACACAGGACCAACUAACAGAGAACUAUAAGAACACAGGACCAGCUAACAGAGCGCUAUAAGAACACAGGACCAGCUAACAGAGAACUAUAAGAACACAGGACCAGCUAACAGAGAACUAUAA
rnacentral:lncRNA from 1 species